rnacentral:rRNA from 1 species
AACUUAAAGGAAUUGACGGGACCCCGCACAAGCGGUGGAUCAUGUUGUUUAAUUCGAUGAUACGCGAAGAACCUUACCUGGUCUUGACAUCCCGGAGACCCCUUAGGAAACUAGGGGGUGCUUCCAUCUGGAAGAAUCUGGAGACAGGUGCUGCAUGGCUGUCGUCAGCUCGUGUCGUGAGAUGUUGGGUUAAGUCCCGCAACGAGCGCAACCCUUGCCUUUAGUUGCCAGCAGUUCGGCUGGGCACUCUAAAGGGACUGCCGGUGUUAAACCGGAGGAAGGUGGGGAUGACGUCAAGUCCUCAUGGCCUUUAUGACCAGGGCUACACACGUACUACAAUGGCCGAUACAAAGGGCAGCGACCCCGCGAGGGGGCGCGAAUCCCGAAAGCCGGUCCCAGUUCGGAUCGGAGUCUGCAACCCGACUCCGUGAAGCUGGAUUCGCUAGUAAUCGCGCAUCAGCCACGGCGCGGUGAAUACGUUCCCGGGCCUU